AUACGGAGGAUGCGAGCGUUAUCCGGAUUUAUUGGGUUUAAAGGGUGCGUAGGCUGUUUGGUAGUCAGGGGUGAAAUGCCGUCGCUCAACGUCGGAGCUGCCCUUGAUACUGCUGAGCUGGAGUACGGAUGCCGUUGGAGGAAUGAGUGGUGUAGCGGUGAAAUGCAUAGAUAUCACUCAGAACACCGAUUGCGAAGGCAUCUGACGAAUCCGUCACUGACGCUGAGGCACGAAAGCGUGGGGAUAGAACAGGAUUAGAUACCCUGGUAUUCCACGCCGUAAACGAUGAUGACUAACCGCCUGCGAUAGAGUGUAGGUGGCCAAGCGAAAGCGAUAAGUCAUCCACCUGGGGAGUACGACCGCAAGGUUGAAACUCAAAGGAAUUGACGGGG
rnacentral:rRNA from 1 species